rnacentral:rRNA from 1 species
UGGGGAAUAUUGGACAAAUGGGGGGCAACCCUGAUCCAGCCAUGCCGCGUGAGUGAUGAAGGCCUUCGGGUUGUAAAGCUCUUUUGGCGGGGACGAUGAUGACGGUACCCGCAGAAUAAGCCCCGGCUAACUUCGUGCCAGCAGCCGCGGUAAGACGAAGGGGGCUAGCGUUGUUCGGAAUUACUGGGCGUAAAGCGAGUGUAGGCGGUUGCCGUAGUCAGGUGUGAAAGCCUUGAGCUCAACUCAAGAAAUGCACUUGAUACUGGGUGACUAGAGGACCGGAGAGGAUAGUGGAAUUCCCAGUGUAGUGGUGAAAUACGUAGAGAUUGGGAAGAACACCAGUGGCGAAGGCGGCUAUCUGGACGGUUACUGACGCUAAGACUCGAAAGCGUGGGGAGCAAACAGGAUUAGAUACCCUGGUAGUCCACGCCGUAAAACGAUGGGUGCUAGACGUUGGCGAGCUUGCUCGUCAGUGUCGCAGCUAACGCGUUAAGCA